UAUCGUUCGAGUUAGGCGAGUUGCUUCCCAAAGCUCACACAGACCCUUCACCGAGAAAGCAGAAUAAUCGAGGAUCGACCCUCCCGAAAAAUAGAGAACAAAUGCAGAGAAGCUCUUCGAAAGAAAAGGGAAAAAAAAAAGAACAGCCAAAGCGACGAAGACGAGAGAGGGCCUACAUGCCCGGCUUUCCCUUUUUCUCAUUGCGUGGGGGGAAGGGAGGAAAAGCGCUCUUCGCCGGCAGCAGCUCCUCUGCUCUCCCCUUUCUUCCUCUGGAGCCAUCCAGGCUGGAGCUGGGAUUCGGCGCCGGAUCCCCAGGGAGGAAAAUGGCCUCCUCGGAGAGCUGAGGCGGCUAACAUGAGGACACGUUGAGGUCAUCUCGGCUCGCGCCUCCUCUCCAGGGCGGAACCUAAUCGGCAGCGGGAAUCUAAGGCCCGGCUUUAUUGUUGGUCGGCGUCUUUCUUUGUGGCUGCGUUUUACGAGAUUGCUCCAGGCGAAAGAUCUGCAAUCUCUUGUGGAACAUCUAGAUGGCUUUCUGCCUUUUCUCCACCAUGAUCCUGAUAACAGUACAGAUGUCGAUGCUCCCAUCUCAUGUUAGACCUAGGAUGGAUGGAUGGAUGGAUGCAUGUUCACCAUAAUUCUGAAGUCAACACAAGAUGACUAAAGCAACAUUAUCCAGUAGCAUUUUCCAGUCUAGAAAAAUGCCUCCUAAAUUUUUCAUAUAAAUAAUUAGAUUAACUAGUCUGAAUAUUCUGCAGUCUCACUACUUUAUCUGAAAGUUAAGAUAAUACACAUGAAUCUUUGUUGGAAGUGAAACAUUUAA